rnacentral:rRNA from 1 species
UACAGAGGGGGCAAGCGUUGUUCGGAAUUACUGGGCGUAAAGGGCGCGUAGGCGGCCCGCUAAGUCGAACGUGAAAUCCCCGAGCUCAACUCGGGAACUGCGUCCGAUACUGGUGGGCUUGAAUCCGGGAGAGGGAUGCAGAAUUCCAGGUGUAGCGGUGAAAUGCGUAGAUAUCUGGAGGAAUACCGGUGGCGAAGGCGGCAUCCUGGACCGACAUUGACGCUGAUGAGCGAAAGCGUGGGGAGCAAACAGG